ensembl:misc_RNA
UUGACAGUCCUGAAACCUGAAAUUCUUCUUUUAUCCACAGAACAAGGACAGCAUGGACAACAGCAGAGAAAACUUCCCCACGUUACCUUGGUAAUGUGCAUCAGUUCUAAAUAGGGACCAUUGCCAUUGGCUUCUUCCCUGCCAAAAUGGGAAGUGGAGGCCAGGGCAAUUUUGAUGGCAGUUCUUUUUGUGAUGUUG